CAGUCGCCGCGGUAAUACAGAGGGUGCGAGCGUUAAUCGGAUUUACUGGGCGUAAAGCGUGCGUAGGCGGCUAAUUGAGUCGGAUGUGAAAUCCCCGAGCUUAACUUAGGAAUUGCAUUCGAUACUGGGAAGCUAGAGUAUGGGAGAGGAUGGUAGAAUUCCAGGUGUAGCGGUGAAAUGCGUAGAGAUCUGGAGGAAUACCGAUGGCGAAGGCAGCCAUCUGGCCUAAUACUGACGCUGAGGUACGAAAGCAUGGGGAGCAAACAGGAUUAGAUACCCCCGUAGUCCCUGUCUCUUAUAC
rnacentral:rRNA from 1 species